GGCGAACGCUGGCGGCGUGCUUAACACAUGCAAGUCGAACGGAAAGGCCCUGCUUUUGUGGGGUGCUCGAGUGGCGAACGGGUGAGUAACACGUGAGUAACCUGCCCUUGACUUUGGGAUAACUUCAGGAAACUGGGGCUAAUACCGGAUAGGAGCUCCUGCUGCAUGGUGGGGGUUGGAAAGUUUCGGCGGUUGGGGAUGGACUCGCGGCUUAUCAGCUUGUUGGUGGGGUAGUGGCUUACCAAGGCUUUGACAGGUAGCCGGCCUGAGAGGGUGACCGGCCACAUUGGGACUGAGAUACGGCCCAGACUCCUACGGGAGGCAGCAGUGGGGAAUAUUGCACAAUGGGCGGAAGCCUGAUGCAGCAACGCCGCGUGCGGGAUGACGGCCUUCGGGUUGUAAACCGCUUUCGCCUGUGACGAAGCGUGAGUGACGGUAAUGGGUAAAGAAGCACCGGCUAACUACGUG
rnacentral:rRNA from 1 species